rnacentral:rRNA from 1 species
UACGUAGGGGGCUAGCGUUGUCCGGAAUCAUUGGGCGUAAAGCGCGUGUAGGCGGCCCGGUAAGUCCGCUGUGAAAGUCGGGGGCUCAACCCUCGGAUGCCGGUGGAUACUGUCGGGCUCGAGUACGGAAGAGGCGAGUGGAAUUCCUGGUGUAGCGGUGGAAUGCGCAGAUAUCAGGAGGAACACCAAUAGCGAAGGCAGCUCGCUGGGACGUUACUGACACUAAGGCGCGAAAGCGUGGGGAGCGAACAGG